AAACACAAUGUUUAAAUGUGUUGAUCGUGCCAGCUCUUGUUAACUGACCUUGUAACAACUCCGUUCAAAUUGUC